AGAAUGAUAACGAUUGUACAACACAAAAUAUAGUUUGUUAGAGUUUUAUCGAAUAGAUUAUUAGGAACAAUAUCUAAGAGAAUAUAAGAUAUUGAUAUUUAAUUAAAAAGGUGAAAAAAGACGAAACAGGUGUAAAAUGAAGGUACAAUGUAAUUUAGAGGGUAAAGUCGACUGAACUGAAGAUAAGAAGAGCGGGGUAAACUACAUCUGUGAUGUAAUUUGGUCGCGAUCUGCGAUGGAGAUGCUGGCGUUGGCCUAAACGACUAAGUUGAAAACGCAAUUGUUGAACACAAAUUUCGACAGAAAUUCAAAGGAUCAGAGAGAAUUGAUGGCGGAUAUGAUUCAUGAGUCAAGUUAACGUUAAGCUGUUAGUCAGGUUUUUGGAUUGAAACAACGGCAUGUUCAUCGUUAGGACUCACGGUUGUAGCCAUGUAGGAGACGCCCCGAGACAGUAGGACAGAUUUUGACGGAGUGCAGGAUUUUAAUGAAGACUCGCACCGGUACCCUGACAUGAACAUAAUCAUCCGAGCCUCGAAAUCAGCCUCACUCAUGCCGAGUCAUAGCCGUGAUGGCAGUUGUCAGGAAACAACAGGUUAACUUAUCAUCAUCAUCAUCAUCAAGUUAAUGGGCUUAUAACUCUGCCUUUCUUACUUCCAAUAUCAAAGUUAUCUUAUAAAUUUGCCACGUUGCAGAAGUUGCAGUUUAGAUAUAGUUGCAGACGGUAUUCAAAACUGUUUAGAAUGAAACAACUGAACGUGGCGGAUCCAGGGUAUACGAGGGGGAGCACAUUUGAAAGACAAGUAUUAGCCAAAAUACUCAGUUGUUUGGAAUUUUACUCGCACUAUUUGUACUUUUUAAAUAUGUGGCUAAAUAGGGGGUGUCUCUAAAUCCCCCACUGCAUUACAUAAGCAAGAAGUCAGGUGAAAGUAUAGGAACUGAUUUUUGAAGCGGUGAUUAUAUUCAUACACAAGAAAAGACUGAUCACGUGACCAACUUCAUGUUAUAAGAAUUUGAAUGUCAAUUUCAUUAGGUCUGUCAUAUAAGGAAGUGCAUUGGCAAAUGUAAA